AGUCAUCUUGCGAACGGUGCCAGUGCAGCAAGGAAGCUCGGAAAACUCCAUGUGCUAGUCGAAGCGGAUGUGGCUGGUGGAGGAGUCUUGCAGUGUAGUUUCUGUAGGGCGCAACUUGGAAAACAAAGCAAUGCAAGUGUAUUUGCAAGUGAUUGUGUACUGAGAAGAAAGCGUAAGGGAAGGAUCGAGGGAAAUAGGAGCAUUUUGAAAGGAUAAAUAGUACAAGCGCUCGUUACUGCGUAGAUAGUAGCUAGCAUUCUCACCGAAAGAAGAAUCAUAAACGCACGCACGUUUGUGUCGUUCGAUGUGACAUUCAGAUGACAGGGUGCCUGUGAAAGGCAGUGUGUGUGUGCGUGUGUGUUUGUGUGAAAAUCUUUUAACUGCAAGCCGACUCCGUUCGAACAGGGAAGGUUCUGCACGGCACCCAAAGAAGGCACGUACGCAGUCUACCAUGGGCGACGGCAUCAUCGCUUGCUGCGCCGGUCUUCUAAGUGCCCAGAGAGAAACCCCCGACCGGGAGGAAAAUUUUCGAUAGGAAAAUUGGGCACGCCGAGUCGAAUGCAAAAGGGCACAACAUUGUGCGUACCGAAUAGCGUUGUGCCAGUGUUCGAUCGGGAAAACGAAAGGCCGAAGCGAACCCUUUCGAAAGGGAAAUUGUGGGAAAAAGGUCUUGAAGCACACUUGGAAAACCCUACCCACCCAUCCCCUUUCAAAAUCGUGACCAUCAUUCGUCAUCAACAGCCGUUUUUUGUUGGUCGGCUGUCGGGCGGUGUGAAAAAGUGUGGUGAGUGAGACUGGGCAGAAAAUAUUUCAUCAUCCGGUUAAAAGUCAAAGUGCAUUCGGUGGAAUUUCCAAUGAUGGGAGAUUGCUUUUUGAGGGUUUAAGAGUGAGUUAAAUGUAAAAAAGCUCCAAUUUGUUACAAUCAAGUGAAUAAGUUUCCGAAUAGAAUCGAGCUGAAACUUCCAUAUCACGUGCAAAAGGAAAGAUCUGUAGUGCAGCCGAUUUUUGCACAAAGAAAAGCAUCGUCGGUAGAUUGUGUUUGUGUAUGUGUGUGCUGUUCCUGUGUACGUGAGUUAAUGCGCCACAAGUUCUUUCUUUGCCAUCUCGCGCUUUGCACGGUGCAUCCAACGAUACCACACUGCACAAACCACGGUGCAGAAGCUUAAACCUUUAGACGAUACCGUCUAGUACUGCAGGAGGCGAAGCAACCAAAGUUUAAACAGGGACACCAGCAGUUCCAGCAUCCCUUUUAGCGAGCGCUUGAAACAACAGCCUCAAGAAGAUGCAUUCGGUCGGCAUCCAUUCGGCGCUUGCCAUCAAGCGGCAGCGCAAGAGACGCGACAAUCAGCGCAAGGCCCGGGAACGCCGCUACAGCAUACAGAGCUCGGAGAGUGGCGAUACCCAUUCGCCGCACGGUUCGACACGUCGAAAAUUCCACCCCCAGAAAGUGCACAUCACCGAUAAUAAUAAUUUAGAUACGAAAGUAGUCACCAGUAUUGGCAUGCUGCACAUAGGAGUCGUGUUCGUAGUUUUCGGAAUCUUUUUACUAGGCGCUGGAUUUUUUCCAGAUAAUCUAUCCAAUCAACCACAACAAUCGUGGCACCUGCUAGGCAAAGGCUCCUGGUGGAAUGAACUGAUAUGCACCGGGCUGUUUGCCGUCGGUCUGGGCAUAUUUCUAAUCAUUCUGAACUGUGUGAUAAGCAAUCGAGAGGAGCAGGAUCUCGAAAGCUACGUCCAGCGACAGCUGACACGCUCCCGAUCCGGUCAUCGACUGGAGCGCGACGUCGAAACUGGCGGGCUGACCACACGCCAUCACCGCAAAGCCAUGCAGAUACAGAAGGGUGCUGCCGAGCGAGGCCUGGACGAUCUUUCCAACUCGAAUGUGCUGCUGACGCCGACCAGCAGUGAAGUGGUCACCCCGACAACUCCGUCCGGAGGCUAUGCUUUGUAAGAAUAUCAUCGCUCAGAGAUUCAUCCCGAACGGCCAUGCAGAACUGGGAAGCAAGGCACGGCAAGUGCUCGGUGCUUCUGGGGAAAUUUUGUUGGAGAAAAUUUUGGAAGAGGACAGCAGCUACGGCGAUGCGGACUACUACACGCGGAACGUGGGCCAAUCGCCGCCCGGUGCCGAUAACGACAAGCGGUUGCUGCUGGGCAACGGGCACACGGGCGCCAUACACAUGACCGACAUCUAAGCGGACAGCGAUGGAAUAUCGCCGGCGAGAAUCGAAUUGUGAUGACGAUUUUUGUAGUUUUGGUAGAGCUUUUUGCUGGUGGGGAAAGAGGGGGAGAGACGGCGGGGACGGGUUGUAAUAUGGACAUAAAAUAGUAUAUAUUAAAGCAAGUCCAAAGUAAAGGAAGUUUUCGUAUUUUGACUUCAAACUCAAACACACACACACAAAUCUCUCUCUUACCAACGGAUCGUAUAGCGUGAAAUAACGAACGAAAGUCGAGCUCCAUCACAAAUGUUAGUUUGAAUCAUCGCCGAUUGAGCAGCAAACCUACUGUCAUGCCAUCUACUUUAUUUACGAACGAACAAGCAAAACGAGGACGAAGAAUUAGUUAUAAUAUAACGCGCUAAACGAAUCUCGAUUAACACGCUACCGGUGGGAUACCGUACCGGAAGAUAAAUCUGUUCUGCUGCUGCCGCUGCUCCAAACAACCAACAUAAAAUUAUGAGCCUGCUGAGCGAUGAUGAGGCGAGGCGUGGGCAACCAGUACAGCAUAAAAGGGAAAAGUAAACCAGUUGAUUGAUUGACAUCCGACUCGAAUCAAAUUAAAUUCCCACUGAGAUUAAUCACAACGUGUGAUCAUUGUCGUUGGGGUGGAGUAAAGCAGAUAGCAUCAAAUCAGGAACACACUAUCGAAAUCCCACCCAUCGGACACACUGGUAGCGGAUCAGUGCAAUCGUCAUCAUCAUCAUCAUCAUUUGCACACCGCAUAUCGUCGCUCUGGCUUCACGGUUGCUGGUUGGUCAGCUCAGCAGCAAGCUUCACCAAACGUUUUGCGUCAUGUUUGUGGCUUACAGUUUUGCUUUCCGUACGCCGGUGGGUAGUAUUCGACCGUUAGCAUAAUUAUUGAACAAAAAAAAACCACAAACAGCUUCUAUUGGGACAAAAUCCCUAGGGAGAGCGAGAGAUGCAUCUAUUUUAAAAGUCAAGUCGAGAAAGAUAAGGUGAGAAAUAUUUAUACGACUAAAUUCAUCUGGCUGACAUAUACAAAACAAAAAUCACAAAUCAAACUGAAUUGCGGCGGCUUCCACUAUUUAGUAUCCUUCCCUUAUCGUAACCGUAGCGAAGUACAUGUGAGAUAGAUAGAGGGCCGAAGACGAUCCAGUUAACCCAUCAGAAGACGGCAUGCAAAGUACAUGUCAUGACUCCAUUAAUCGUAUACAUGAAUGUGAGUGGCGUUUAUUACCAUUUUUGAAUGUUAUGUAUGUUUUACUUUAUUCCAUAUACCACACACACACACACUUAAAACAUUCGGAUCAUGCACAUUUAAUGGUGUCGGAUGUACGGUACAGCGCGGUAAAGGAAGCAUUCGGUUAACAAGGAUGAAAUGAAUGUUAGAAGGAUAGAUAAGCAAAGAGUCGACGGUAUCGUAAUUAACUAUGAUAACAUAUAACGCCAUUUCUAUACUUGCUAUAUGCGAUAGGAUGUAAGCUACUGUGUAAGUAACUACCACGUGGUACAUCUCUUAAGGAGUAAAAGAAAAAUCCCUAUCUGGGCGCUGCUAACUCUCUGCGCAAAACUUUUUACACCACACACCUUCGAUAGAUGGUGCCUAGGUGCAUCUGGUGCUUUUUAUCAUUUUAAUUCCUGUUUCUUAUUUUCGGAGAGCCAUGCGGGGCGAGUGCUGCUCGAAACGAAACGACACCCAUAACCAUUUGCCUUACACGGGCCAUGUCUGCGGCAGGAAGAAUCGGUACCACAGUACCACAAGCAUUUACAUUCUGUAUAGUUAAGUGGCAAAUCACACCUUAUCAUACGGUUACCGCCGUACUCAGCGUAGCUUCAAAGUAUGAAUCAUUGUGCUGCAACUCGAUCUAGAUAUUAGCAGGAAAGCAAAAUUGUUUAAAAAACAGACAACAAAACGACGGAAAACUCCACACCAAAGAAAUUCGAUCACCAGUUCCAAUUGCUACCGCAUACAAUCAGUCGCGGCUAGGUAGUAGGACAUAAAAGCACAAGCAAAGAGAAAAACAGCAAUAUAUGUUGUACAAUGGCCGACGUACUUCGGUUUCGAAUUUCAGUUCUAUGUCUCAAGAAAGUGUUCUGAGAAGGAUCAUUCCUAAACGUAUCAGAGGAUAGAAAACCCCCGGUUUAAAUAAGAAUAUCCUUUCCAUGACGAUAUCAACACGCUUACAAGGAACUUUUUGUGGCAAAGGUGAAUAAGGACGUUGGAAGAGUGUUUCGUCCCAUUUAUGAUUUGUUUAAAUAAUUUGAUUAAGUUUACCUAUUGAUUCUAGUUCAAAAUAAUUAAAGAAUAUUAAUUAGACGUUGCAAGACAGAACAUUCACAAUCCCACUUUGCAAGGUUUUGCCGGCCAUCUUGAAUUAAUUUGAAUUUUACUCCCGAGACGAUCUUAACAUAUUGUGCUAAUUGGGUCGGUAGCCUUUAUCCUGAAAAUAUUUAACAUCGGACCAUGUUUCUUCCAAGAAAGCUAAGAUUGCGUCACGAUUUUCACCACUCAGCAGCAUCAGCUGUUGCCAGGGAUUUAGAAGCAAAUGUUUACCAAGAGUCCCGCGGUAAGGACUUUCCCGCGGUCCCUUCCCUCUUUGCUAUUAACACUACAUAAUCCACAAAAUGCUUGUGCUACAGUUUUGGGGACGAGGUGAUAAUUAUACGCUUUUCUAGAACCGAACCGAAUCAUCCUUCUUCUUCACUUCACCAUGGGGUUUUGGGAAGAUCAUCCAUCUCGGUUCUGUAGCGGGAUGAUGGAACGCAACAUAAAAUAACAACGUGUAUGUGUUUUGGGGAGAAGUUUACCAUGCUAGCUCAUGAAUUUUGCACGCCUGUGGAUUUCGUGGCUUCUCCCUCUUGAAGCAAAGGUUCUUGGAAAUGCGAUGUUACAAGUAUAUCUCUAAAAUUGCUCACGUUUCCAGAACAUUUCAUUUCAUGUCAUAACUCGCAAGGCAUUGGCCAUAUGUGCAGUAAUAAAGUGCAAACGAGCGUAGUUAAUAGAGACAUGCAAAUAUUCCUUCUUCCUCUUCAUGUUGGCACUUUAAAUCUCAGAAGGUCUUGGCGUGCAAUUUCUGGCUUCCGUAACUUGAUUAUUACAUAAAUACCAGGAGAGACAAAGAUUUUUUUCUUGUGGAUAGUCUAGAUGGGAUUCGAUAUCCAGUUUGUACUGCAUGGAAAACUAAUGUCACUACAGCCGUUGGAAUAUUUAAACUUCGUAAAAAUGUCUAUCGCUCCAAAUGUCUCUUUUUCCUCAUUAUUUAUCUUUGGAGAUAAGCUAUUUUGUGUUAUGCAGCUAAGUCCAGGGCCGGAUCCUAGUAUAAGCAAACUAACCGGAUGCUUCGAAAAAGGCGUGUCUUCCUAUGAGCAGGCUGUGCAGUCCUGGAUGCCACAAGAAUUUAAAGGUCUCCAAUUCCAUAAGGUGGCUCAUAUAAAGUAUUCACUCAUCAUGUGACCCUGGCCAAGUAGGCCAAGUAGGCAGAUGAGUUUGGAAGCCUUCAACUGGAUUGAUCGGCCACUGGUAAAAUCACUAAUGAUUUUGUUAUUCAAAUCGUUAUUUAAUCGUAAAAGAUUUUUUUGUUUAACUUGUUAAUGCCUUUUAAGGAAAAACAAUUUUCCAAAAAAAUCUAACUCUAUCAGGAAUGACAAAGCACCACAGUGAAGACAUAGAAUAAUACUUUUCGUUACAAAAAAAAACCAAUACGAUAACACGUCUGCAUCGAAUACGAUAUGAAAUUGCAUAUGAAACUACUGUGUCUUGUGUAUGUAUGUGCGUGUGUGUAUGCGUGUAAUAUUUUGAAUAAUGAUGAAUGUCCUUAUGCUAUCACACGAAUCAAAUGAGAUGCAUCUAACACAAAAGCACAAUGCAAGCAAGGGUGAAAGAAUCUCAAGAAAUCAUUCCAUAUCGAGAGACCUGCACAAAUGAUGACCUGAACAGAUAGAGAGCGAGAGAGAGAGAGACGCCUCGUGGUUCUGGAGCCGGCAAGGAUACGUUGCUGCAUUCCGUUCUCGACGACAGGAGACGACACAUUAAUUUAACUAUGUUACCAUAGUAGAUCGCUCGUUUUAUGCUUUAGUUUAUCACUGUUGGGUAAAUACAAUGUUGGAUGUUUUUAGCGUCGUUAGUAAGGCAGAGCUAUUUUUUAAUGAAAGGUACAAGCGUAAAUCGGCUGAAUAGGAUGGGCGGAGAUGGUCCUGUAACAUUAUUGUAGACAAAAAAAACCAUUCAUUUUUGAAGAUAAUUAAACCAUGGUCCCAUUUUGGGUACAAGCGGGGACUGCGUUAGCUCCGAAGCUGCAGAAACAAAAUCACUAACAGUAUGUACUUACUACACACCUUAACAAAAACAUAGAAAAAUACUACAUGAUUGUACUCCGACCAAUUUAUAGCUAAGAUCUAUUUUCAAUCUUUUUCUAUAUAAGCAUGUUUAAGCGACGAGUCGCUUUGUACACGAUCGUUUCAAAGCAAAUGAAAAAGGGAAAAAAGUGGAAACAUUCCCAAGAAAGAGCGAGUAAGAGAAAAAACAAACUAUGUAGAAAAUGUCCCAAUACCCCCAGCCAAACACAGCUAGAAGAAUACCAGCCGCACAUGUAACAGAUAACACUUAAAAUGCCCUCACUCAAGUUAGAUUUUUUUUUCUACGAACAAACCUUCAAACGAACAAAAAAUAAUGAACACGGAAACUUGAUAAAAACUACUACAGCUACGAACAGAAUAGUGAUGUUUGCAAACAAUUUACAUUCUCUGCACAAAUAUUCUCCUAGCUCACGAUCACGGUGAAUUUUUCCGAUGGGUAAGAGGCGCGUAACCUAAUGAUGGCAAAGACCACUCAGUAACGUGAGUUAAAUCAGAGUGAGUGAGUUAGAAUAGUGAGUUAAAUCUCGAGGAAUGAUUAACUCUCCGUACCGACUAACCACUCACUGUGUUAUAACUCACUCAUGAGCUAAAUUACUCAUUAGUGAUUUAACUCUUCGUUCUAUCUCACUCACUUCGGUUUUACUCAUCCACUAUAUUUUAACACACUCACUAUGUUUUACUCACUACUUGUUAGUUAAAUAUCGCUUCGAUAAAAUAAAACGUUGAGAAGAGUGUGUCUGUGAGUGAGUGAGUGUGCCGUUGAGAAGAGUGAUAACUAAUGAAUGAGUUAAAAACUAAGUGAGAGAGUUAAAACGUGAGUGAGUGAGUGAGUUAAAGCGCAGUAAGUGAGUGGUUAGUCGUCACGGAGCGUUAAAUCAUAGGUGAGUAGAAGUUAGUGUUAGUGAUGAUUGAAAUCACCUCAGUCAUAACUAAGAUUUAACUCAUUCACUCAUUCUGACUUUGUUCGCGCAUCACUAGUACUGAAACAACAUUGAAAUAAUUCGGAAACGGAAUUGCACUUAUAGAAAGGUGGAGAGUUGAAACUACACGACCGCAUGUUAGGGAUUAAGGCUAGGCUGAUAGAUCAUCUUCCAAAUUAAACGUUCUUUUUUAAAUAAAGUAUUAAGAGUGUGAGGCCAUGAAUUGAACCACGUACAUAAAGGUUUGAUGUUAACGAGAAGCGUACGCUCAUUAGCUUUUCUUUGCUGAUCUUUGUCUCAAUCGGUUUGUAUAAGUUUCUGUAACAAAAAAAAACUACUUUACAUUAAGUUUAAAACUCAGUGAUGAUUUUUACACCUUCUCCAUCGUAAAAGUGAAAUAACGCAUUUGUUAAAAAAGAAGAAACAAAUUUUGCUCUCUCUUUCUCUUUCUCUCUCUCUCUCUCUCUCUCUCUCUCUGUGAGCCAUUUUGUACAAAACGAAAAAAGAUAAAAGGAUUUAAAGGCUACAGCAUACAACAACGGGUAGAUAGAUGCACGAAUAAAAUGCAUACCUAACCAAGCGUCUCAUCAACAACAACAACACCGUAUAAUCCCCUCCGUUAAUCAAAACCGUCAACUAUCGAAUUUAUGUUGCCAACUUUUCUAAACGAAACUUAUUUCACCGUACACCGUUUUUUAAAUGUGAAAUUUUUGCUUGGAUAAGAUGCCAAAACCAAUAUAUGUAUAAUCAUGUGUAUCACGUUCUAGUGUCCAUGCAGUCAGCUCAUAUACUGUGCUCUGUAGAAGUUCGCAUCAAUCAUACCAAUAAGAGGUGCAUACAUUGUUUACAAUACCACCAAAACAGACAGAACAGAAGAAACUAUAAUUGUAUCCAAACUUUCACCGACUGAAUACUUCGCUAGCUGUGGGGUGACCGCAGCCGAAAAAUGUGAUUGAUAAGUUCGGCAAAAAAAGCGCCUGCCCACAUAUACUCGCCUUUCGUUUGCUAUCAAUCUUCUCUGCGACAAAGAAAAUGCUGUAAAGGAAUGUGAGGAAUAUAUAAACCUAUCGUCAACCUCGUAGAACCUGACCUGAUCUGUGAGGCUGUGGAACGAUUCGAAGUAACGGAGAAAAAUUCAAAUUUGAAUUCUGACCGCUAUUGAAAUGCUAUUGAGAAUCUCUUCCAGAAAAAAAAUCUACUAUCAGACAAACGACAACACGAAACAGCGCACCAUCAUUACAAAUCGAGCGAAAUUAGAUAAGUGAAUAAAAAAAAU